UAAAUGGCUAUAUUUUUUAUAGUGUUCUUUGCAAGCUGUAUUGCAAGUUGGUUGUGUAAAAUUCAGCUAAUUUUAGGCUGAUUUUUAGGAGUGUUCUGGAAAAAGCUAAAACAUGGGUGCGCUUUGUGGUUUUUGCGUUUAUAAUUACUCGUUUUUACCAAGUGGUGGUACCCCAUUUUAUUAUGCAAUUGUUGUUUGUAUAUAUUUGUAUAUAUUUGUUGUUGCUGGUUGACGACGCAGUUUAAAAAUUCAUUAAACACAGAAAGAACUAAAUGAAUACAGAGGAUGUCCUGAUUUUUGGAGAAAUUUUUUAAGCUCUUGCAGCUGGUAGAUGUUGCUGCCGCACUGAUGAUGUUGCUGUGGCGCCGCUGCCGAUGUUAUUGCUCUGUCUGCGUCUAGCCCUUGCCGUUGGGUGGUUGGCUGCCUUUUAAGUAAAGUUUUAUUUUUUGCUGAUCUCUGAAUAAUUUAUAUUUUCGCUCGGCUAUCGAUGUUGUAGUUCUUGGUUGCUGUUUUGCUCACUCACGUUUUAUUUUGACAUUUUUUUUAGUUGUUUUGCGGCUCGGUAGAAAAUAUUUAAAUCAAAUCGGCAA